ACGCGCUUGCUCCUGCAAAACGCAGCAAUUGAGACAGCUCAAAUUGGGAUGCCUUCCACAAAAAAAGAGCUCCACAGGCUCCCCUGGCAGGAGCUAAUAAUAUUCCCUUUAUUAAGCAAACACCGCCCUCGCUCCCCAUCUCCCUCCACCCGCUGCAACCCUUUCGCUUGGAGGAAAGAGGAAGGAGCCAGGAGCGGGAUGGCACGCUCGGACCACCGGGCCCCCUCGCUGCACUGCACCAUAGCCUUCCCGGCCCUGCCGGGGCCGACCGACGGCAGACGGCGAGCGGACGGUUCCCCUAGCUCCUUGGACAUGGGGAGAGGAGUGGAGGAGGAGGACGACGACGAGGCCAGGAGCACAGGAGGAGACAGAGAACAGGCGUUUCAAAUCUCCCCUGGCAGGAUUGUUGGUGCCCAUGGCCAGUGAUGGAUAUGAAAAUAUGACCACUUAAUAGAUGGAUGUCCAGCGUGGAAGAAGUGAUGCUCUUUCUACACUUCAGCUAAUGCAUUGCUGUCAUCUGCUGGCCUCAAAAGGAAAAGGCCACUUUCUUGGAGAACAGGAAGUUUUCAUCAGUCGUUGCUGUUAGAAUACGGUAGAAAUGUAUAUUCAUGUGUUGAGUGGGGACGUCCGGACAACGCUACCAUCCUCCCUGCCUCCGAAAUCCACAGCCUUGGCAUUAUCGCCGACUCGUCCCUCUCUUUCAAACUCCAUAUGCAAACCGUUGCCAAAUCCUUCCGGAAUCUGCCCCUUCUUCUCCAUUCAGAAGGCCAAGACCUGGUCAGGUUUUGAUUUCAUUACUUCAAUAGUCAUCGCCGAGCUGUAUUUUUGUCCUGAAGAGUUUAAUGUGAAAAUGUGAAGUAUCAAUGACCUGAGAAUGGGGUUUAUGAUAGUAAUACACUUUAAAGAUGGUGUGGGAAUUGAAAUACCUGUUACCAAAAGGUAUUAAUGAACAUUUGAGAAAGAACAUUUUAUUUCUGAGUCUGAAAACGCUGGGAAAAAUUAACAAGCUGAUCACAAAGUC